rnacentral:rRNA from 1 species
GUAGGUGGCGAGCGUUAUCCGGAAUUAUUGGGCGUAAAGAGGGAGCAGGCGGCACUAAGGGUCUGUGGUGAAAGAUCGAAGCUUAACUUCGGUAAGCCAUGGAAACCGUAGAGCUAGAGUGUGUGAGAGGAUCGUGGAAUUCCAUGUGUAGCGGUGAAAUGCGUAGAUAUAUGGAGGAACACCAGUGGCGAAAGGCGACGAUCUGGCGCANAACUGACGCUCAGUCCCGAAAGCGUGGGGAGCNNNUAGGAUUNGAUACCCUAGUAGUCCACGCCGUAANACGAUGNGUACUANGUGUUGGGUGUCNAAAGCUCAGUGCUGCNGUUAACGCANUAAGUACUCCGCCUGAGUAGU